UACGUAGGGGGCAAGCGUUAUCCGGAUUUACUGGGUGUAAAGGGAGCGUAGACGGCAGCACAAGUCUGGAGUGAAAUCCCGGGGCUUAACCCCGGAACUGCUUUGGAAACUGUGCGGCUGGAGUGCAGGAGGGGUAAGCGGAAUUCCUAGUGUAGCGGUGAAAUGCGUAGAUAUUAGGAGGAACACCGGUGGCGAAGGCGGCUUACUGGACUGUAACUGACGUUGAGGCUCGAAAGCGUG
rnacentral:rRNA from 1 species